CCAUGAGUACAGUGGCGUACGGGUGAGUAACACGUGGGGAUCUACCUUUGGGUGGGGGGAUAACUCUGGGAAACCGGAGCUAAUACCGCAUAAGCAAGGAACUGGAAAGCCGAAAGGCGCCGGAAGAGGAGCCCGCGGCCGAUUAGCUAGUUGGUGAGGUAACGGCUCACCAAGGCAAUGAUCGGUAGCCGGUCUGAGAGGAUGGCCGGCCACACUGGAACUGAGACACGGUCCAG
rnacentral:rRNA from 1 species